rnacentral:rRNA from 1 species
UACAGAGGUCUCAAGCGUUGUUCGGAUUCAUUGGGCGUAAAGGGCGCGUAGGCGGCGGGGUAAGUCUGGUGUGAAAUCUCGGAGCUCAACUCCGAAAUUGCACUGGAUACUGCUCUGCUUGAGGGUUGGAGAGGAGAUCGGAAUUCACGGUGUAGCAGUGAAAUGCGUAGAUAUCGUGAGGAAGACCAGGGGCGAAGGCGGAUCUCUGGACAAAUCCUGACGCUGAGGCGCGAAGGCUAGGGGAGCAAACGGG